AAAAGCGUAACAGCUCACUGGUCUAGCGAUUCUGCGCCGAAAAUAUAACGGGGCUAAAAUAGACACCGAAGUCGUAGAUUUGUACUGAUGUACAAGUGGUAGGAGAGCGUUCGUAUCAGCGUUGAAGGUAUACCGGUAAGGAGUGCUGGAGCGAUACGAAGUGAGCAUGCAGGCAUGAGUAGCGAUAAAAGAGGUGAGAAUCCUCUUCGCCGCAAACCCAAGGUUUCCUACACUAUGCUCGUCAUUGUAGGGUUAGUCUGGUCCUAAGCUGAGUCCGAAAGGGGUAGGCGAUGGCAAAUUGGUUAAUAUUCCAAUACUAACAAAUAAGCGCGAUGGGGGGACGCAUAGGGUUAAACGAGCUCACUGAUGGAAUAGUGGGUCGAAGGGCGUAGAUUGGCCGGAUAGGAAAAUCCGCUGGCUGUAUUCGAGACCUGACGGGCUAUGAAUGUUCUUCGGAACUGAAGUAGAAUCGUUGAUACCGUCG
rnacentral:rRNA from 1 species